UGGUGUACCAGUUGUCGUGCCAACGGCAUAGCUGGGUAGCUAUGUAUGGACGGGAUAAGUGCUGAAAGCAUCUAAGCAUGAAGCCCCCCUCAAGAUGAGAUUUCCCAACUUCGGUUAUAAGAUCCCUCGAAGAUGACGAGGUUAAUAGGUUCGAGGUGGAAGCGUGGUGACACGUGGAGCUGACGAAUACUAAUCGAUCGAAGACUUAAUCAAAUU
rnacentral:rRNA from 1 species